rnacentral:rRNA from 1 species
AGAGUGGCGACCGGCGCACGGGUGAGUAACACGUAUCCAACCUGCCGAUAACUCGGGGAUAGCCUUUCGAAAGAAAGAUUAAUACCCGAUGGCAUAAUAGAACCGCAUGGUUUGAUUAUUAAAGAAUUUCGGUUAUCGAUGGGGAUGCGUUCCAUUAGGCAGUUGGUGGGGUAACGGCCCACCAAACCUUCGAUGGAUAGGGGUUCUGAGAGGAAGGUCCCCCACAUUGGAACUGAGACACGGUCCAA